rnacentral:SRP_RNA from 1 species
GCUGGGCGCAGUGGUGGGUGCCUGUAGUCCCAGCUACUCGGGAGGCUGAGGUGGGAGGAUUGUUUGAGCCCAGGAGUUCUGGGCUGUAGUGCGCUAUGCUGAUUGGGUGUCCGUACUAAGUUCAGCAUCAAUAUGGUGACCUCCUGGGAGCAGGGGACCACCAGGUUGCCUAAGGAGGGGUGAACUGGCCCAGGUCAGAAACAAAGCAGGUCAAAACUCCCAUGCCGAUCAGUAGUGAGAUCGUGCCUGUGAAUAGCCACUGCACUCCAGCCUGGGCAACAUAGCAAGACCAAGUCUCC